UCACUUUGUAGACCAGGCUGGCCUGGAACUGCACUGAAGCUCUUGAUGACCUUCUUACUUUCUUUAAAACUCAAGUUAACCUCAGGAGUGUUAGCAGCUGUUCAAGAUUCCAAGACAUGAACAUAUUGAGCCAGAGGCAAAUAAGUAUUCAAAAUUAAGUGCAGCUGGAAUGCAAAUUGUUUGACAGCUGAUCUAGCAUGUGUCCAAUGCUGUAUACCUUGGACUUAUGGAAUAGCUGUUCCUGACUUGUGUGCAACUGUCCUUCAUCCAUAUGUGGCUCAGGGCAGGGUCUGGGCUCACAUAGAGUGAAUUUAGGUCUUUUAAAUAACAAAGCUAUAGGCGUCUCUGAUUGUGCAGCAGAGGGUCCUGCAACCAAGCAGAGCUAUUUCUUCACUCUGAAAGCCAUGAAAGGUCCAACAGACCCUGAGAAUUUCAGCAACAGAAACAGUCUAAAACAUGAAAGGAAAAGGAAACAUUUUAAGAUCACUGCUUAAAAUGCAUAUAUUUGUGUAUUUGCACAUGUCUACCAUAUUUAGAAGUAAAAAGUAUUUUAAAAAUAGUUUUUAGCAAAAAACUCACAGGAAACCCUAUUACGAUUAGUAAUAGUUCAUCCAUUAUAGUUUCACAUUCAUUGAAGUAAUCUUAUUCAUUGUCAGGUCUUACUCUUUCAACUCUUCACUCUUCUGUUCUCUAUGUCAGUGGUUCUCAACUUUCCUAAUCCUGCAACUCUUUAACACAGUUUCUAAUGUUGUGAUGACCCCAACCAUGAAAUUAUUUCAUUGCUUCUUCAUAAUUGUAGUUUUGCUACUGUUAUGAAUUGAUAUAUAGGCUGAUAUGCAACCUCCAAAGGUAAGGUCAUGACCCACAGCUUGAGAACUGCUGCUCUAGAUCCACACAAAGCUUUUGCAGAGGGUAUAAUAUCUGUCUAUUGUUCCAUGAGAGAUGGAUGGGCAAGAUACCUGGGGCUACUAUGAGCUCUUCUAGAGGGACAAAUGAACUGUAAGUAACAUUUAUGGUUUCUAUCUUGCAAGUGGAAAUAAUGACUCCUGAAUAAGUUCUAAUUAUUUUUAUCUCCAUAUCAGGAAAUUCUAUCAAGUAGACAGUUGUUCUAUUUUCUAGAAGAGGAAAUUAAAACUCACUUAGGUUCAUAUAAGUAGUAGGUACACGGCCAUAUGUCAAACCUGUAUCUUCAUGUUAUCUUCCUACCUCCUUGGUUCAUUCAGUAUGAACUCACAGUAUUUGUGGCUUGGUUAGAGAUUCCCACACAGGAUUUGAAUGACAGGAGGUAAGUGGUUAUUUGUCAGUCAGCCUCCUCCAGAAAGGAAACAGAUAAUGAAUCAAUGUAGUAACUAAAGUGAUGUGGUAGAGUUGAGUAUACUAAUAGGCAGAGAGGCAUUUGGGGAAGUUAACACUUCAGGCUUCAGGGGGACCAGAGAAGAAUGGUGAAGCUACAGGGAAGAAAAGAUCUUCCAGUAGCCAUGGCCACAGAAAUUGGAGUAUCUCAGGUGGUAGUCAGGAAGGAGUCAUUCUUUUUCGGAGAAAGAACAGAACCAAGAAGAAUGGAGAAUUUACCUGGGGAACUGAGACACAUCCCUUAGUGUUUGUAGGAAGAAUAAGCAGAUCAAGCACAGGUUCAGGAUGAGGAGAUAGAUGUCAAGGCUAAUGUGGAAUUCUGAGACAGCCACCUCAGCAGCCACAGGGUCUACUGAAUAGCCUAUUGGAGUCAGCUAUUUUGCAUAAGAUGAUAUGAAGACUAUAUAAGAUAUUUGGCUUAGGGAACUUAGGAACUUGCUGGCUUCUGGAAUCUUAUUUGGUUCUCUCUUUGUUACAGUGACCUACAGCACUGAGCAUCUGAAACUCACUGCUUCCAGAUCCUGAACCAGAAAAACAACUAAAACCCUUUCUUCGGAACAUCCUGAUGUUUACUCUGAGCGGGUCUUUCCUUGAACCUCCUGGAAGCAAGAGUGUUAGUGCAUAAGUACAGACUGUACAUCCAAUUUCUCUUACUAGGGAAGAGAAGAUGGCGAUGGCCUCGACAACAGUAGUGGUUCCUGCAGAGUGGAUCAAGACCUGGGAAAAAUCUGGGAGAGGCGAGUUUUUGCAUUUGUGCCGGAUUCUCAGUGAAAGUAAAAGCCGAGACUCUUUUACUUGUAGAGAUUUUCAACAAGCACUGUAUGAGUUGUCAUACCAUGUCAUUAAAGGAACUUUAAAGCCCGAACAGGCCUCAAAUGUUCUUAAUGACAUCAGUGAAUUUCGAGAAGAUAUUCCGUUUAUUCUUGCUGAUAUAUUCUACAUAUUAGAUAUUGAGACGAAUUGUCUAGAAGAAAAAAGCAAAAGAGAUCAUUUUACACAACUGAUACUAGCAUGUUUAUAUUUAGUUUCAGAUACAGUUCUAAAGGAACGCUUGGAUCCAGAAACAUUGGAAUCAUUAGGCCUUAUCAAACAAUCGCAACAGUUCAAUCAAAAAUCAGUUAAGAUCAAAACGAAACUCUUCUAUAAACAGCAGAAGUUCAAUUUGUUAAGAGAAGAAAAUGAAGGCUAUGCCAAGCUGAUUGUUGAAUUAGGGCAAGAUUUAUCUGGCAAUAUCACUAGUGAUUUAAUCUUAGAAAUUCUCAAAUCUUUAAUAGGGUGCUUUAAUCUAGACCCCAAUAGAGUUUUGGAUAUCAUUUUAGAAGUGUUUGAGUGCAGGCCAGAACACCAUGAUUUCUUUAUACCUUUAUUAGAAGCUUAUAUGAAUAUGUGUGAACCACAGACACUGUGUCAUAUUCUUGGGUUCAAAUUCAAGUUUUACCAGGAGCCAAAUGGUGAGACUCCAUCAUCCUUGUAUAGAGCUGCAGCAGUGCUCCUGCAGUUUAACCUUAUUGAUUUGAAUGAUCUCUAUGUGCACCUUCUUCCAGCUGAUAGCUGCAUUAUGAAUGAAUACAAACGAGAAAUUGUGGAAGCUAAGCAAAUUGUUAAAAAACUUACAAUGGUUGUAUUGCCUUCUGAAAAAAGUGAUGAGCGAGAGAAAGAAAAGAAAAAAGAUGAUAAGGUAGAGAAGGCACCUGACAACCAAAAACUUGGUUUGUUGGAAGCCUUGUUAAUUAUCGGUGAUUGGCAACAUGCACAAAGUAUUAUGGACCAUAUGCCUCCAUACUAUGCAACAUCACAUAAAGUAAUAGCCCUUGCUGUUUGCAAUCUUAUACACAUAACUAUUGAGCCUAUUUACCGAAGAGUUGGUGUUCCUAAAGGUGCUAAAGGCUCACCUGUCAAUGCUUUACAAAACAAGAAGGCACCAAAGCAAGCAGAGAGCUUUGAAGACUUAAGGAGAGAUGUAUUCAGUAUGUUCUGUUACCUUGGUCCUCACCUUUCUCAUGAUCCCAUCUUAUUUGCAAAGGUUGUGCGCAUAGGCAAGUCAUUUAUGAAGGAAUUUCAGUCUGAUGGGAAACAAGAAAAUAAAGAGAAAAUGGAAGCUAUCCUUAGUUGUUUGCUUAGUGUUACUGACCAGGUACUGCUUCCUUCUCUUUCAUUAAUGGAUUGCAAUGCGUGCAUGUCUGAGGAACUAUGGGGAAUGUUUAAAACAUUUCCUUAUCAGCAUAGAUAUCGCUUAUAUGGACAGUGGAAGAAUGAGACUUACAACAGCAAUCCACUUUUAGUGAAAGUUAAAGCUCAUACAAUAGACAGAGCCAAAUACAUCAUGAAGCGCCUAACCAAGGAAAAUGUGAAGCCUUCAGGAAGACAGAUUGGGAAAUUGAGCCACAGUAAUCCAACCAUUUUGUUUGAUUAUAUCUUGUCACAAAUACAGAAGUAUGAUAACUUAAUAACCCCUGUGGUAGACUCAUUGAAAUACCUCACUGCAUUGAAUUACGAUGUUUUAGCUUAUUGUAUCAUUGAAGCACUAGCUAAUCCAGAAAAAGAAAGGAUGAAACAUGAUGACACAACCAUCUCCAACUGGCUUCAGAGUCUGGCUAGUUUCUGUGGUGCAGUUUUUCGUAAAUACCCAAUUGAUCUUGCUGGUCUUCUUCAGUAUGUAGCCAAUCAGUUAAAGGCAGGCAAAAGUUUUGACCUACUUAUAUUGAAAGAAGUAGUACAAAAAAUGGCAGGAAUAGAAGUUACAGAGGAAAUGACAAUGGAGCAGCUUGAGGCUAUGACAGGUGGGGAACAACUGAAAGCUGAAGGUGGCUAUUUUGGCCAGAUUAGAAACACUAAAAAAUCCUCCCAGAGAUUAAAGGAUGCACUACUGGACCAUGAUCUUGCCCUUCCUCUUUGUUUACUUAUGGCACAGCAGAGGAAUGGGGUGAUAUUUCAGGAAGGUGGAGAGAAACAUUUAAAACUUGUAGGAAAGCUAUAUGACCAGUGUCAUGAUACCUUGGUACAAUUUGGUGGGUUUUUAGCAUCAAAUCUAAGCACAGAUGAUUACAUAAAGAGAGUUCCUUCAAUUGAUGUGCUUUGUAAUGAAUUUCAUACACCCCAUGAUGCAGCAUUUUUUCUGUCUCGGCCAAUGUAUGCACAUCAUAUUUCAUCAAAGUAUGAUGAACUUAAGAAAUCAGAAAAGGGUAGUAAGCAGCAACAUAAAGUUCAUAAGUACAUUAUGUCAUGUGAGAUGGUGAUGGCUCCUGUCCAUGAGGCAGUGGUCUCGUUACAUAUCUCCAAAGUCUGGGACGAUAUCAGCCCUCAUUUCUAUACCACAUUCUGGUCUCUGACCAUGUAUGACCUUGCAGUUCCACAUACCAGCUAUGAACGCGAAGUCAAUAAACUGAAGAUCCAGAUGAAAGCAGUUGAUGACAAUCAAGAAAUGCCUCUAAAUAAAAAGAAAAAGGAGAAAGAGCGCUGCACUGCCUUGCAGGACAAGCUUCUUGAAGAAGAAAAGAAACAGAUGGAGCAUGUACAACGAGUUCUACACAGACUGAAAUUAGAAAAGGACAACUGGCUCUUAGCAAAAUCUACUAAAAAUGAGACCAUCACAAAAUUUCUCCAGUUGUGUAUAUUUCCUCGAUGUAUUUUUUCAGCAAUUGAUUCUGUUUACUGUGCUCAUUUUGUUGAGUUAGUCCAUCAACAGAAGACUCCAAAUUUUUCCACACUUCUCUGCUAUGACCGAGUUUUUUCAGACAUAAUUUACAUGGUUGCUAGCUUUACUGAAAAUGAAGCUAGUCGAUAUGGGAGAUUUCUUUGCUGCAUGUUAGAGACUGUGACUAGGUGGCACAGUGACAGAUCUACCUAUGAGAAGGAAUGUGGAAACUAUCCAGGAUUCCUUACUAUAUUACGAGCAACUGGAUUUGAUGGUGGAAAUAAAGCUGAUCAGCUAGAUUAUGAGAAUUUUCGACAUGUUGUACAUAAAUGGCAUUACAAACUAACCAAGGCAUCGGUACAUUGCCUCGAAACAGGUGAAUAUACACAUAUCAGGAAUAUCUUGAUUGUCCUAACAAAAAUUCUACCAUGGUACCCCAAGGUUUUAAAUCUGGGCCAGGCUUUGGAAAGAAGAGUGCAUAAAAUCUGCCAAGAAGAAAAAGAAAAGAAACCAGAUCUAUAUGCACUAGCAAUGGUCUACUCUGGGCAGCUGAAAAGUAGAAAGUCAUACAUGAUACCUGAAAAUGAAUUUCAUCACAAAGACCCUCCUUCAAGAAGUACUGCUACCAAUCUACAACCAAGUGGGCCUUGUGGUGGGCUGCCUUCGUCCAUAGGAAGAAUGUCUAAAUUAGAUGAGAGCAGUACUGAGGAAGCUGACAAAUCACGAGAAAGAGCUCAGUGUGCUAUGAAAGCUGUGAAAGCUUCCAGUGUCACACCAAAGGGGGAUUUAAGCAAUGGAAACAGUGGCUCUGACACCAAAGCUGUUAAGGAAAAUGACAAAGAAAAGGGCAAAGAGAAAGAAAAAGAGAAAAAAGAAAAGACCCCAGCUGUUACUCCAGAGGCCAGGGUACUUGGUAAAGACAGUAAAGAAAAACCCAAGGAGGAACAACCAAAUAAAGAUGAAAAAAUAAGAGAAGCCAAAGAAAGAAUGCCUAAAUCUGAUAAAGACAAGGAAAAAUUAAAGAAGGAAGAAAAAGCUAAAGAUGAGAAAUUCAGGAUCAUUGUCCCCAGUGUAGAAUCAAAAUACACUCAAGAAAGGGAAAAAGAGAAAGAGCCCUCAAGAGAAAGAGAUUUAGCAAAGGAAAUAAAGUCAAAAGAGAAUAUUAAAGGAGGGGAAAAAGCACCAGUUUCUGGCUCCUUGAAAUCACCUGUUUCCCGAACAGAUAUCACAGAACCUGAAAGAGAAAAACGUCGCAAAGUUGAUUCCCAUCCUUCUCCAUCACACUCUUCCACAAUAAAGGACAGUCUUGUCAAGCUCAAGGAAUCUUCAGCAAAGCUCUAUAUCAACCAUAUUCCGCCACUAUUGUGCAAGAGUAAAGAGAGAGAAGCAGACAAGAAAGAUUUGGACAAGUCAAGGGAAAGAUCCAGAGAAAGAGAGAAAAAAGAGGAAAAGGACCGGAAAGAGCGGAAAAGAGAUUAUUCAAACAGUGACCGAGAGGUACCCCUGGACUUAAUCAAGAGGCGGAAAGAUGAGAAUGGAAUGUUGGGGGUUUCAAAACACAAAAGUGAAAGUCCCUGUGAGUCUCUUUAUCCAAAUGAGAAAGACAAGGAAAAAAUGAAGUCAAAAUCCUCAGGCAAAGAAAAAGGUGAUUCAUUUAAACCUGAAAAGAUAGAUAAAAUAUCCAGUGGGAAAAAGGAGUCCGGACAUGAUAAGGAAAAGAUAGAGAAGAAAGAGAAAUGGGACAGCUCUGGAGAUAAGGAAGAGAAGAAACAUCAUAAGACCUCAGACAAGCACAGGUAAUGAAGACUCAGGCAAAAGUGUGGGCAGGCCUCUGAGCUGAAGGUCUCCCAGCUGAGGAUGCCAGAGCUCUUGGUGUCACUCUCUAAACAGUAUCUCCCUUAAUUGAGAGCCUCUGGUGCUGUCCAUCUUAUGAAAAUCCUUUUAAGUCAGAAGAUGAAUAUGCAUCGCCAUCCUGUCGAGACAUUGCAAAGUUGCUGGCUUUCAGAACAUUAUUUUCACCUCUGGGCAGUUCCUUGCAGCAAGAUCCCUGUGCGUACAAUAUUUUCUUGAAAUAAUACUACCUAGAAACAGCAUCUAUGAAAUCUCCACCAGCUGAAUCUCAGAUCACCCUUCUUAGAAAGGGGACUUUUCUUCAACAGAGGACUUCUGGAAGGGUCUGCUGUGCAUUUACCAAUAUAGAAGAAGUAGGCUAUGGUGAAUUGAAGUUACUGUUCUACCUUAAAGGAGUGGUUCAGUACCAGCUAUAGAAAAUCUUGCAGGUGCUUUGCAACAAAUUGGGUCUUUCACACAUUACUUACUUAAUCUCCAUAGCAAUGUUGCAAGUGCCUAAAAAGCAUAAGCAUACCCUCGAUCUGUGCUGCUUUGCUGAUAAGCUGAUCAUCCCAUAUCAUUGAUAAGAGAGAUUUGUACAACUCCUUCUGUGUGCCAGGCCCUGUUCAAAGAUGAUGGUAUCUCCUCUCCCUCAUAGAAUGCCUCUAAGCGACUGACAAGUGGUGACUGUAAGACGCACAGGGAACAGAUGGAGCAGCUGGUGCUGUGCAUGAAAGGUCAAGUGCUUGGACUGAUGGUGUCCUGUCCCACAUAGGCCAGUGUCUCAGUGUGACCAUGAGAUUCAGCAGUCAGCCUUGCCCAAGUGUCCUUUCCAGUCUACAGUGGACCUGGAAGUUGGAGGCAGAAAUGGGGAUGCCAGGUUACUGUGUGGUCCUGAGUGGAUUUGCCAUAACAAGUACAUUACUUAUGUCUGGUUUAUCAUAUGAUGCUGUUGUUUAUAACUAAUUAUUAAUCUUCUACACUCGGUUUUAUUUUCCAUAAGCUUUACCCAUGGAUGAAAGAUUUUAUUAACUUUUCCUCACAUGAUAAAUCUAGACUUUGAAAUAUUGAACUAAGAAAAAAACAACUGGAAAGUAUAUUGAGAAGUACGCCCAAUUGCUGCCCUGCCUAACUCUUCAGGUGACAAGUAGCUUUCUAAAGCUUGGAACUGUCGAAGGACUUCUGAGUAUGCUUCCAGCCACAAGUCAGUACUGACAUCGUCACCAGUGUGUGUAGGAGGAGGGCACUGCUCUCCACACUGAUGCAGCACUGUGGUGGUUGUUCCUCUCAGGUACCCUACUGACAGACCAUAGCACAGCUAUGUCCCCAUCGUGCUGGAGUUUGUUGUAUGAAUAGUUAAGAUGUUAAUACUACACUUUUUUGCCUUUCUCAUAGCUAAUGUCUAUAGAACUAGCUGUAUUACUUGGUUUUUGUUUUGUUUUGUUUUGAUUUUUAUUGUUUUAGCUGUUAAAUGCCCCCCCCCCCCAAUUUCCAGAUAGUAUAUCUAACUGCAACAGAUGAAUUUUAUGGUUCACAAUAAGUUUGACUUUCAACAAUUUGUUCAGUGUGAAUAUUUUUAUCUUUUUCAUGCUUCAACUUACUUGAAACUCAAUUUAUUAUUAAAAACUGUCUAGUAGGACCAACUUAUUGUUACUUUGGUAUGCAGUGAAAUGUUCGAUUAAGCUAAUAUUGAAGAAAGAUACUCUGACUGUUUUGAAAUUUAUUAUGAAUCAUAAAGCAAAAAUCAUUUCAUAAUAUUUCAGAGAUAAAGGUGCAACUGUUCUUAGUCCAGUAUGUCAGUAGAAUUCAUAGCACAAAUAAAGUUUGCUUAACUAAAAGAUUUUUUUCUGAAAGUCCAUCUAUUAUCAGAAAGCACCAGGAAGAAGUUGUAUUAGUAGCUGCUGUUUUCAUUGGAAGAGUUUUUCACUAAAUUUCUGUGUAAAAUCUAUUUUCAAUAAGAGAUGUUUUUGUUUUCCAAACAUACUAUUUAGUAUGAUCUUUUGCCAUCUAAAUGGAUAAGAAAGAUACAAUUGAGGGCUGGUGGUGGUCAUAUAACCACUAAAGAAACCCUGUCUUUAGUGCUGUAUCUUGUAUUCAUUCUCAUGUUAAUUAAUUACUAGAUGUUUUCAGUCGUGUCUCCAAUGAAAACAGGAGCGAGAGAUCUUUCUGAGUCAGUUGAUGAAUGAAUCAUACUAAUUUUUAACAGGUUUUCCAUAUGAUUUUUAUCUCCAUCUUUUUAGUAUGCUGACCAAGUUCUUCUAGGUGGUAAAGUUUGUAUUCCAGGUAUAUUGAGUUUAUGUAUUUAUCAUGUAUGCACUAUUUUUCGGUGAAAACAAACAUCAACCUAAUGGGCAGCCAUUAUCCAGUAUCCAUGUAUACUGACCAUGUGCCCCAGAUCCAUUACAGACCCUAGAAAGUAUUUUUUACUCAUGAGUUCCACCUGUUUGCAUUUUUUGUUUAUUGUUUUUAUUUUUUGUUUGUUUGGAUUUUUUUUCUUGUGUCAAAAAAUAAAGUUUAAUGCUUUUCCUGGUACCUUGCCCUUUGUUGGCAUAAUUGGGAUAUAAAUCAUUCAAAUCUCCACAAUUAAGAGUUUCAGAAAUAUGUGAUACUGGCCACUUGACUUAAUAAAGACUAGAUGUACAAAACAGAUAGAAAAAAAGUCUAUUUCCUCACUAAAAACAAUUGAAUAUUUUUCUUAUUAGCAAAUAUUAGUAAUAGCAUAGACUAUGAUAUAAAACAUAAUAUAUAUGUUUAUAUGAUAUAUAAAACAUAUAAUUUCUAUAUGUUUUGGUGGGCACAUAGUGAGACAAUGAUUAUUACAGUAAAUACUCAUUUCAGUUAACCAACUGGGCAUUGUAAUUACAAUAGGGCUAUAAUGCAUGGAAACUCACUCGUCAGAAUCCUUAGAGCUAUAACCUGAGACAGUUGAAGGGCCCAUAGUUCAUUUGGGAGGUGUAGAUAGUAGUGAGUCUGAGGAAGCCUGGAAAGGAAAGGUGUACAGGGGGUGUGUUGUCAUGCUGGCUAACACUGCAGGCUGCUAGAGCCAUAUUUCCUUUGUGCUACUCUGGAAAACACUAGAACACACAAUUUAGACAUACCUCAUGUGAAGAAGUGGGGUUCAGAACUAGUCUGGGACAGUGGUAGCUAUCCUGUACAGUGAACAGCAGCUCUUGGCAACUUGUAUUCAAGAGCUGUAGCUGGACAUGAUGGCACAUGCUUGGCAGUCCCAGCAAGGGACUGAGAGGUAGGGUCAGGAAGACCAGGAGUUUAGGGGUAACCUGGGCUACAUGAGACUGGUUCAAAAAAAAUAGAGACGAGCAGUAGUUGAAGAUUGGUAGACACAGAGUAUCAUUAUAAUACCCACAUUGUCCCUUACAUGUAUACUUGACAGUCCAGCCUCAUAGUACAGUCAGAUGGUGUUCUGUGCGCUUGCGCUGCAUGACUGUGUAGCCCACACAGGCACAGCCAGGAAAGCCUGAAAGGCACAAUGAGAAGACAGUGCUGUGGUUCUGAUCCUGGUGGUAUUUACUAUUCAUGUGAUCAGGUCUCAUCUGUAAGAUCAGAAGAUGAAUCUGUACACACCACUCUCGGGUGUAUGUGGUCUGAAGCACAUUUGAGCUGAACUCUGCACAGAAGAGAGGAGGAGGUGCCUUGUUUUACAAAGAGGGAGGUCUGUUCAGUCAGCAAGAUGGAAAAGAUUUCUUGGCAAUUUAAAUUUUCAAAGGCAAAAGGGACAGAUGUUGUCCAGUGAUAAUUAAAAACUUACCUAAAAGGCUUUUUUAAAGUCUCCACUUGAACACACAUAUUUCACAACUGCAGGUUUGGGCUUCUUUUUCCCUUAUGUUACAUCAUGAACAUGUCACAUGUUAGUGUGCAUAAUACACAAAGAAUGUAAUGUAAUGUAAAUUGAUAUUGUAUGACUGGUUAUAUCUACAUAUUAAUACUAAAUUAUGAAUAUAUAAUGAAUGUGAAAUA